AAAGCAGGGGAUCGCAAGACCUUCGCUUUUGGAGUGGCCGAUGCCUGAUUAGCUAGUUGGUGGGGUAAGGGCCUACCAAGGCGACGAUCAGUAGUUGGUCUGAGAGGACGACCAGCCACACUGGGACUGAGACACGGCCCAGACUCCUACGGGAGGCAGCAGUGGGGAAUUUUGGACAAUGGGCGAAAGCCUGAUCCAGCAAUGCCGCGUGAGUGAAGAAGGCCUUCGGGUUGUAAAGCUCUUUCAGUCGAGAAGAAAAGGUCGCGACUAAUAAUCGCGACUCAUGACGGUAUCGACAGAAGAAGCACCGGCUAACUACGUGCCAGCAGCCGCGGUAAUACGUAGGGUGCGAGCGUUAAUCGGAAUUACUGGGCGUAAAGGGUGCGCAGGCGGCUUUGUAAGUCAGAUGUGAAAUCCCCGGGCUUAACCUGGGAAUUGCGUUUGAAACUACAAAGCUAGA
rnacentral:rRNA from 1 species